AUUGAACGCUGGCGGCAGGCCUCACACCUGCAAGUCGAGCGACCGGCGGACGGGAGAGUAAUGUAUGGGGACUGACCGAUAGAGGGGGAUAACUACUGGAAACGGUAGCUAAUACCGCAUAAUAUCGGAUAACCCAUAUGGGAUUAGCUAGUAGGUGAGGUAAUGGCUCACCUAGGCGACUAUCCCUUGCUUGUAUGAGAGGAUGCUCAGCCACGCCGUGACGUAGACACGGCCCGGACUCCUACGGAGGCACCAGUGGUGAAGAUUGCACAAUGGGCGCAAGCCUGAUGCAGCCAUGCCGCGUGUAUUAAGAAGGCCCUGGGGUUUGAAAGUACUUUCAGUCGGGAGGCGUUACCGACAGAAGAAGCACCGGCUAACUCCGGGCCAGCAGCCGCGGUAAUAC
rnacentral:rRNA from 1 species